GUCCAUGGGGCCGCUGGUUGAGAGGCAUUUGGGUUGUUUCCCAAUUGGGGUGGUUACGAAAUGACUAAUAAUCACUCACGCACGGGUGCUGAUGGGGAAACUGAGGCACAGAGAGGCCGACUUUGGGUACAUGCCUGAGCCCCAGGACACUCCGUCCUCUCUCGCCGCCUGCCCGGCAGAUGCAUCUUGGCCCGGAUCCCUCCCACCCCGGCGCUGGGGACACCGCUCGCACUUGAAGCAGUGACCAUUUUUCAAGCAGAUCUGGAAGGGACUGCUGCUCUGUGGGUCAUGGUCGAGGCCUCAUGGUCGAGGCCUCAUGGCUUCCGCUCACACCCUCCACGUGCUGUAGCCAUCCUGGGACCAAGCCUGAGCCAACCUGUCACAGGAGGAGAGAGUCCCCAGCUCCACCCGAGCCGUCCCUACCAAGGCCGUCAUGAAGCAGCUGGCCCCACGGCACCCACCAGCUGACCACACCCACAAGGUCAAGUGCACCAAGAGCAGCUGGGCCUGACCCAGACCAGAAGAGCCGUGAACUGAGUCCAGCACCAUCUGCUGGCCUGUGGGCUCCCGAGCUAAGCAAGGGAUGGUUGCUUUAAGUCAUUAUGGUUGGGGACAGUUUGUUACACAGCCAAAGCUAACUGAUAAUGCUCCGACGACCUUCCCUUGCUCUCGGGAUAAAGAACAAAAUUCCCACCAUGA